CCCUUAGAUGCUCUGGGCCGCACGCGCGCUACACUGGUCGAUGCAACGAGUUUCUUUCCUUGGCCGACAGGCCUGGGCAAUCUUUGAACAUCGAUCGUGAUCGGGAUAGAUUCUUGUAAUUUUUGAUCUUAAACGAGGAAUUCCCAGUAAACGCAAGUCAUCAGCUUGCAUUGAUUACGUCCCUGCCCUUUGUACACACCGCCCGUCGCACCUACCGAUUGAAUGGUCCGGUGAAAUCUCCGGACUGGCGUGAGUCGGAGCAAUCUGACAAACACCGGAAAGUUGAUUAAACCUUACCAUUUAGAGGAAGGUGAAGUCGUANCA
rnacentral:rRNA from 1 species